UACGAAGGGUGCAAGCGUUACUCGGAAUUACUGGGCGUAAAGCGUGCGUAGGUGGUUCGUUAAGUCUGAUGUGAAAGCCCUGGGCUCAACCUGGGAAUGGCAUUGGAUACUGGCGAUCUAGAGUGCGGUAGAGGGUAGUGGAAUUCUCGGUGUAGCGGUGAAAUGCGUAGAUAUCGAGAGGAACACCUGCGGCGAAGGCGGGUUGCUGGGCUGACACUGACGUGAGGGCGACGAAGGCUAGGGGAGCGAACAC
rnacentral:rRNA from 1 species